GAAUUGAACAAUGAACCAGAGCAGAUGAGUGUGGAUGCGCCAGAGAUAUAUGGAUCCUUGUAUGAAGUAGUAGAGGGAUUGAUAAGCUGGAUUUGGAAGAAAAAGGGAUUCACUAGCAAAACGUGAUUCUGAGCACUAUUUCUCUAAGUUCUAUAUAGAUAUUUAGCCGAAAAUGUGUGAAACCUUCACCCAUUUUUUCAAAAACAAAAGGUGUUCAUUGUUGCUUUAAUGGGAUGCUGGAGAUAAUGGGUGGACGCAUAUUUUCAGUUUGUGGUGAAUGAAUCCGUCUGUUGUUUUCAAAGACUUAGCUGAUCUUUCGUUAUCCAUCAUUUUAACAUCUGGUUUCAAGAACUGAAUGUAUGGUUUAACAAUAUAAUUGUUCCACAUAUGGGCUGGUUCAAUCUCCAGUGGUCCGGGUAGUUGGAAAGAACAGAUUAGUUGGAAGAAAUAGCAGAGUUAAGAAAGCAUGGUCUUUUCUAACUGAGGCUCAAGAUGAUUCCAAGAAAGGAUCUGCAUUUCUUGCAGUGUGUAGGGGAAAGGUUUCAGAAGGGCUUGAUGAUUGCGCACAGAUGAUUGUUGGCAUUCCAUUUCCAAACUUGUAGUCGAACUAAAGAGAAAAUAUAAGGAUACCAACAAAUCAUCUAAAAACCUUGGAGGGAGUGAGUGGUAUUGCCAACAGGCGUAUCAUGCUUUAAAUCAAGCAGCAGGACGAUGUAUCCGGCAUAGGUUUGAUUAUGGUGCCAUCAUAUUCUUAGAUGAGUGAUACCGACAACCAAGGAACAGAGCGUCUAUUUCAAAGUGACUAAGGCAAUCUAUCAAAGUGUAUGAUAAUUUUGAAGCUUCUGUGGAAGGACUAAGACCUUUUAUUCCACAUUGUCAAGGAGAUAGUUGACAUUAAGAUAUUAGAGUCCCAUGAGCAGAACUUGUCCCCUGAAAACCAAAGCAAUGAAGAUCCAGAAAAGGAAACCUCAGGCAUUUCAGCAGCCAGUCCAUGUUCUAGCUCGAAGAAUGAAAGCUCUAGCCUAGCAACAGGUCUGAGAUCUCUGAGGUCUCCUGAUCGAUUCUUAAAACGGCAUUUAUCUACUGCAAAUUUCAGAAGACCUCCUCCUCUGUAAUAGUAACUCCAGAGAGAUACUCUAUUGGUGAUACCCGUAGUUCGAUUCUAGAAGCAGAGUCACCUUUGAACAUGAGUGUUAAUUCCCAUGCUUUGAAGAGAAGAAAGUUCCAUACCUCUCCAGUCAUCAUUGACCUUGAAGAAGAAAGCAGCAAUGCUACUAAUACUACUAUACUAGACCCGCGGAUCACAAGAAGAAUUGAAUUUGGGUUUGGUAGUACCGAAUCAAGAUCCCAAAAUGACGAUCUUUUGCCCUUUUUGUAGAGUCCCAAACACCUGCCUUGGAGUGCAAGUCAUGGCUACUGUGUCAUCAAACGUCCAGUUUAUGAGCAAAGUAAGCUUGACUUUAGUUGGUGAUUCAUCAGAGUGCAUUGUCUUGAUAUUGAGAUAUCUUUU